rnacentral:rRNA from 1 species
GGGCCCGCACAAGCGGUGGAGUAUGUGGUUUAAUUCGAUGCAACGCGAAGAACCUUACCAGGGUUUGACAUCCUGCGAAUCUUUUGGAAACGAGAGAGUGCCUUCGGGAACGCAGUGACAGGUGGUGCAUGGCUGUCGUCAGCUCGUGUCGUGAGAUGUUGGGUUAAGUCCCGCAACGAGCGCAACCCACGUCUUUAGUUGCCAGCAUUUAGUUGGGCACUCUAGAGAGACCGCCGGUGAUAAACCGGAGGAAGGUGUGGAUGACGUCAAGUCAUCAUGCCCCUUACAUCCUGGGCUACACACGUACUACAAUGCUACGGACAAAGGGUAGCAAGUUCGCGAGGACAAGCAAAUCCCAUAAACCGUGGCUCAGUUCAGAUCGUAGGCUGCAACUCGCUACGUGAAGGAGGAAUCGCUAGUAA